AAAACUGUAAGGAUAACGUAUCUCGUUAUGAUCAUUCUGUAAGUUGCUGUAUGAGCUACAAGAUUAACAUCAGAUGUACUCUCUGUACUAGACAUGUGAGGUGUACUCUGUAUCCUAGACAUGUGAGGUGUACUUUUUAUGCUAGACCAUGUGAAGUGUACUCUCCAUGGGCAGAUUGGCCAUCUGGCAAUUCUGGCAAAUGCCAGAUGGGCAGGACCAUGUUUUUGUUUGGGGAGUCUGUGUAUUUUAAUUGUUUUAUCAACAUUUAUUCGAUUCUGAAUCUCAGUCUCUUCAGCCUGCGAGUGGGUCUUAGUUUAUGAGCUGUAGUAACGAAUGACUCUGGUGUCGGAUUACAUUACAUAGCCACUGCCACUGGAGGCUGGAUAGUCCCACCAAUUUCCCACUUAUUUCAUUUGCUGAAAGGCCUGUCACUUCUCUGCAGCAAGAUAUGCAUACUGUCAAACGUAGCACAACGCUGGAAAUCUAUCCACAUCAACUAGUGCCAGCAUCGUUCUAUGACAAACACAGAAGGCUUUAUAUUGAAUUCAAUAGAACAGAGAAAGAGGGAGAGAGAGAGACUGCCAGUUCCUUAAUGUAGCCAUUGGCUGUAUUAUACAACCAAAACAUUAAGGAACUGGCCGUCUCUCUCUUCUCUCUCUGUUUUUAUUAUAUUUUCAUUAUAUGUAGCCUAAUAUUUAAACACUUAGCUAAGUGGGCAGGGGGGAACACAUGACAUGCACUAAUUUGAAAUACACUCACCGGCCAGUCUAGUACCGGGUCGGAUCCCCCUUUGUCUCCAGAACAUCCUGAAUUAUUCGGGGUAUUCUACAAGGUCUCGGAAAAGUUCCACAGGGAUGUUGGUCCAUGCUGAUGUGAUGGCAUCACACAGUUGCUGCAGAUUGGAUGGUGGUACUGUCUGGAUGUUGCUGGGCCCAGCAAAGGCAGUGUGGUCCCCUGGUCUUCUGGUAUCAGUGCUGUGGGAAAGGAUGCUAGGCUUAGCAGAGACAGCUCAGAGGUUAGUGCAGUGGAGGAGUGACAGACAGACAGACAACAGAGGAGAACAAGGAAAAGCACAGACAGAGUGACACCAGAGAAGAUGCAGAGACAGACUGCACAACAGGGAGGCAACAGCGGCACAGUUACAGUGACAGAGAAUCAGACAGAGAGAGGGAGGUAGAGAAAGAGAGAUAGAGAGAGAGAGGGAGUGUGUCGCAUUCCUUCCUGUACCACCCUCCAACCCCAGAGCUGCAGACUCAAGGCGGUUUCCAGAAUCAAACAAUUUCACGCAGCUACUGGAGGAGGAAAUGAACUGAGCCCAGAGCAAUAAUAAAAUUAUACAAAUGUUAUUACAGACUCGCCUGCUACUGUCCUACUUUAAUUCAAAUUUGGGCACUCCAGGCAGGGCUGGUGGCAGAGACCUUCCUGAAUAAAUCAACAUUAGCUUACGUCUAAAUUAUUAAGGAAGUGAGAGACUUUCUUGUUUAUAGUAUGAAUUAUUAAACAAGUGUUUAACGCUGUUUUUCUUCAUGAAUCCCCAAAUAUUA
rnacentral:lncRNA from 1 species